UACGUAGGGGGCAAGCGUUGUCCGGAUUUACUGGGCGUAAAGAGCGUGUAGGCGGCCAAGCAGGUCCGUUGUGAAAACUGGAGGCUUAACCUCCAGACGUCGACGGAAACCGCGCGGCUAGAGUCCGGAAGAGGAGAGUGGAAUUCCUAGUGUAGAGGUGAAAUUCGUAGAUAUUAGGAAGAACACCAGUGGCGAAGGCGGGCUCACU
rnacentral:rRNA from 1 species